GAUCUGGUUCAGGAUGAACGCUAGCGGCAGGCUUAACACAUGCAAGUCGAGGGGCAUCGGGAGUAGCAAUACUGCCGGCGACCGGCGCAAGGGUGCGUAACGCGUGAGCAACAUGCCCGUAUCAGGGGGAUAAUCCAUGGAAACGUGGUCUAAUACCCCAUAGUAAUUAUGUAAGGCAUCUUAUAUAAUUUAAAGCUUUGGUGGAUACGGAUUGGCUCGCGUGACAUUAGCUAGAUGGUAAGGUAACGGCUUACCAUGGCUACGAUGUCUAGGGGUUCUGAGAGGAAGGUCCCCCACACUGGAACUGAGACACGGUCCAGACUCCUACGGGAGGCAGCAGUGAGGAAUAUUGGACAAUGGAUGGAAAUCUGAUCCAGCCAUGCCGCGUGCAAGGAAGACGGCCCUAUGGGUUGUAAACUGCUUUUGUAUGGGAGCAAUAAGGGCUACGCGUAGUCCGAUGAGAGUACCAUACGAAUAAGCACCGGCUAACUCCGUGCCAGCCGCCGC
rnacentral:rRNA from 1 species